CAAAAUCCAAGAGCCAACACAAGAAGGUCAGAUAUUCUUCACAUGUUUUGAAUGGAAGCCAGGAGGGCAAGAUCAAGAGCNAAGAUGGUCCAAGGAAGGAAAGGGAUAAAACACCUCAUUUUCCUUACAUGUAUGGCACGACACAUUUAGUUUUCCAGCUGUCACACAUGUAACACAUGCUACUUGGUUAGAAAACAUUUUCCACAUGUAACACAUGCUACUUGGUUAGAAAACAUUCUAGAAGGCUAACACAUGCUGCACAUGGCUGCCUACGUGUCAGCAGAUCCACAUUCCAUGGAUCUAGUAUUUUCCUUGCCAAGGCCGAAGGGUAUGCUUAUAAAAAACCCAAGGCAGCUUCUGUAUGUUACUUUUGGAAAUUGAGAGAUUAUUUGUUGAUGAAUCUUCCAUCUUUUCUCCACCGAUAGUCAUUCAACUUGUGCUUCUUUUCCUUCUCCUCUAGCUUCCUUCCUAGAGAGGGCUUUCUGAGCUUGAUUCCCUGACCACCACAAGCACUUCAUACAUCAACUUCAAUCAUUAUCCAUAUCCUCCGCUGCUGCUAUGUCAAGUCCAUUAACCACUCAGAUCUGCUGCUGCCACUCACACACUCGGUUUUCUCCUCAUAGCAUUCUCCACCGUCACUGUUCCAUUGUUUGAACUCAUGGAUCUGAACUAUUUUCCAAGGCUGGAGAUAUCAUUUGGUAUCAGAGCAAGGUUCAAGAAGCAACCGUGAGCUAAGUCAUCUUUCC
rnacentral:lncRNA from 1 species